rnacentral:lncRNA from 1 species
AAAUAAUAUAUAGCAAGUAGUGGAACUUGCAAAAAAAAAAGUAUAGCAAGUAGUGGAACUUUGCAUAAAAUAUAUAUAGCGAGUAGUGGAACUUGCAAUUUUUUUUGAUAGACGGCUCUGGCUUACGUUCACGUCGUGUCUAUUGUUAACAAUGAUUAAUAUAUAGUUUCAUUAAUGGAAUUUAAUAUCUUAAUCAUUAACUAAAAGCCAAGACGCAAACUAAUUAGAAUAAUAUUAUAAAACAUUUUUUGUUUUUGAAAUUCUUUUUUAGGGAACCAUCUAUAACUAUCACAAAGCAUUGUGUGAUGUAUUUUGAGUUUUGGUUGUCAAAAAAAAAAUGAAGAGGGGGAGGGGCAACGACACGCCCCCUCGCCCAUCUACACCCUUGAAACAAAGGGUGCGCUGCUAGUGAUUUUGUAAAGUAGUAAAAUAUAAUUUUUGAUUUGAA